ACAGAGCCCAAGACCCUCAGUGAAAUACCCCAGAAACGGCAGGAAGCCAGAGCAGCUUGCCAAGGUCAAGAGUAAGAGACAAUGCAAGACAAUGCAGGAAGUGGAGCAACUAUGAUGCAAUAUGCUGGGAUAUAAAGCCGACCAGAAUGCGUCAAGAAAUCAAGAGCCACUUGCAAGCAUGACGUGUCUUGGACCGAUUGCAUUUGUUCUGUAUACUUCCGCUUAGACACAUUGUUUUUAUUGUCUACUUAUAGUAAUGAAGAGAAUAAAUACAUGUGCAGCCCAAUAAAAGAACUCCCUUAUUCAUCCUACAGUCUCUCAUUCAAACCGCUGCUAAGGUAACUCAACCCUAGCAACAUAAUAGCUGCUAAAUUCCACUCUGAAGGGCUGCUGAACAAAAAGCUAAAUAAUUCCAAAACACAAAAAAAUAAAAUAUGUAAUUGCAACUUGUCUUAGAAUAUGAAUGUCUGCAUCAUACUACAAAUUCAUUUAAAGCUAAACCACCCCUUUAAAAGUGGCAGACCCAAUAAUAACAGAAAUAAAGGCGAUGUUCAUCAACAUAAUCCAAACCCACAACAGAAAGGCUGAUUUUGAAAGCUGCAUUUUAUUGAAGGUACAAAAUGAGCAGUCAAAAAGUAUCACAUCUGCAUUGAACACUAUUGUAUAUAUAAAAAAAUAAUGAUUUAAAACUCUGGUGUAGACUCUGUUUGUUCCUUGAAAACACAGGACAAGUACAUAAAUAAAUCAAUCUGAAAAUGAGUAAAAAAAAAUAUAGACAAGAAUUCUUCCAUGCUUUGAAUUGUCACAUCCAUGUAAUAAAUGGGCUGCCGAGAAGCAAGUAAACAUCCUCAUCAUGCAAAGUAACAUCGGCCGGACCUGUCUGGGAGCGGAGAGGGACAGUACUGGGAUCCAUAUCCUUAUCUGUUUGCAUCAAACAUAGAAAGUUUGGGGAUAGUUUGGAAAAGAAACACUGUAUUGAGAAAAAUAGCAUUUUCUCAAAAGGCAAACACUUCCCAAGCUUAUUAUUGGGUGUAAGUAUUCAUUCCAGCAAAGAAAAAUAGAGGAGACCUUAUGACCUUUAGAAGGUAAUUUGGUGGCACUUUGUGGCUAAACCAGUAUAACAGUGUCCAUGGAUAAACCACGGGGCACUCACAUACAAUCUGCUCUUUCCUCUCAGCAUGAACUUUUAGGGCAAUGGCACAUCUUUUUUCCACUUUGGAUGUUUUUUUGGCAAUAAUCAUAAAAAUCACCCACGCUGAAAUUUUCCAAUAAGUGGAUUGGUGGCGACUUCAGGAAUUUGUACACAACAUUUUUAGCAAAGAAAAAAUACAGCAGGCAAAAUGUUCACAUCACUCUGUCUGCUGUAACAAUUAGGGGGGUAUCAAAGGGGGAAAAGUGCUUCAUUUACAAGAUUAUGACAGUAGACCGCCAUAACUCACUUGGAUAAGAAAUGACUAUACAUGGUGCAUUCCAGGCAACUACCAUGUGUCUCUUCCUACUUGCCUGUUCUGUCCGUGCUCUAUGAGCAUGAAGAACAAACUAGUCUCUAUACCAUAUCCAUAAACUGUAGGGUAAAAUGUGAAUGAUGCCAGCAGUUACAGGUAGCAGUUAAUAUGAGCAACAUUGUACACUAAUAAUAAGCAUUCUUUUUGAUAUUUAGAUUUCACAUAUCUG